AUAGUAUGACAAAGUGGAAGUGAUGAAAAGCAAAUACUAGCCAGUGAACACCAAGGUAGUAAGCAGAUGUAUAGUUACAGAUCUUGCUUAUUGAACUUACGCAUACGCUUCAUUAGUACUCAAUGCAAAUAACUUCUUCCAUGAUUAUCUCCGCACAAAGGAAAAACACAAGAGCAUAUCACCCAGGUGUCAGCGAGGAAUUCACAGGCAACAAACUGCAAAGGAGACAUAUUUUAAAUGUGAAAAUGAUUUUGAUCUAUGUGAUCAUCGUAGCUUUGGCAGUGACUGUUGUGGGACAAGGGUCUUUGGAAUGCAAUCUAACUGAACCUGGACCCCAGACGUGUUUUGGAGUUUUAGGAGAACCACUUGUUUUUUACAUACCUAAGAAGCCACGUAUAAAGACAAGCUUGAAAAAGAGUACAGAUAAGAUUUUAAUGUUAAUAAAUGAUAAAUUAGUUACUCUCAAUGAAAAAUACAAGAAUCGUACUACAUUUUUCCCAAAUGGAACAUUGAAGCUCAAAAAAGUAACAAAAAAUGACUCUGGAGAGUACAGCAUGGAAACACACAUUUCUGCUGAAGGUGUGUUAUUGCACACAGUUAACAUCCAUCUACAUAUACUAGGCUCAACAAAGCAAGAAUAAAUGACUCUGGAGAGUACAGCGUGGAAACACACAGUUCUAGUGACGAUGUGUUAUUGCACACAGUUAACAUCCAUUUGCACAUACUGGCUCCUGUGUCAGAACCAGCUGUUACGCAGAUGUGUUUGUCACCAAAACAGAUGACAGUCAGCUGUUUCUCUGAAGGAGACGAAGUAGAGUUCAUUUUGUCUUUGGAUGAUAAGUUGUUGAUACAGUCUACAGCUGACGGUAUAGAAAACAACAACAUUUCAAAUGUUACCAUCAACUUACCUGGUCAGCUGAUGGGAAACCUGACAUGUGUUGCUCAAAACAAUGCCAGCAGAAAACAAACUAUCACCCACCUUACAAGCUGCACAGCUCCUGUGUCAGAACCAGCUGUUUUGCAGAUGUGUUUGUCACCAGAACAGAUGACAGUCAGCUGCUCCUCUGAAGGAGAUGAAGUAGAGUUCAUCUUCUUAUUAGAUGAUAACUUGUUGAUAAAAACCCAACCCAGCAUUGCAGAAAACCACAACAUUUCAAAUGUUACCAUCAGUUUACAUGGUCAGCUGAUGGGAAAGCUAAUGUGUAUCAUCCGAAACAAUAUAAGCAGAGAACAAACCAUCAUCCACCUUAUAAGCUGCACAGGUACAACUUCUGUGGUGACUGUGGUUGUACUAACAAGUGUUGCACCUCUACUUCUCAGUUUCUCAAUUCUCACUUUACUUUUGACUGUUAAUAAAGGUGUUGCUGAAGAUAACAUUUUUUACUCCAAACUUGCAUACGAAGAAAACAUCAAUCAACACACAAAGGCCACAGCCAGAUGAGGGAGUCAGUCUCAGGGCUUUCUUGUUUUGAGGAAACAGUGCAAACAACCACAUCACCAUGCUGCCUCUACUCAUACAUUAUUACUUAUUUACAAGUAGUUAAUCUGCACAUUUAUAAUUUUUAUUCUUGUUAAUAAGCUCAUGUUUUACAUUUUUGCUUAACCCUUGGAGAUUAAAACAAGGCUCUGGUCAGUAGUGUUGGUGCUUUGCUUACAUUGUGUAUUGUUUAGAAAAUGUGAGCUGUGCCUCAAGCAUCAUAGCUACUCUUCACUGUGUGACCUUAGAAACCACAAACUAUAUCCUGUUUUCACUGAGCUGCUAAACCACAACUGCUGCCGUUGCACAGAGGUCAGUGUGCAACUACAGAAUCGGUAUCAUGCAUAACAAUGGCUUGUUUGUUCAUUAUUACAAAUCAUAGUAGAUGAUCCAUAAUAAUAAAUGCUCACUCAUUCUUAUGAAGCAACAAUACAAAAAACAUGAAGGGCACACAAGGCAGCUGGCAAUGAAUUUACAUAUUAGCCUGUUUCAUUGUGGAAAGAACUCUAACUGAUUAACUAACAUUUUAAUUAAAAUAUUUUAUGUGACACAAAUGCAGCGGUGAUAAGAAUGUUUGCUGACAUGUAUAAAAGCGACAGCGCAUAGAGAUUGUUGGCCGAGAUUUAGAUUUUUCAGUAAUAUUUGUCAUCAUGUGUCACUUUUGAAGUAUAAUAAAUAUUCUGUUUCCUUCA